rnacentral:ncRNA from 1 species
CAAGCGAAAGGGCAAUCCCGCCGUGUGCGGGAACGCAAAGCUGUAAACCUACCGCGGCCGGCAGCUCGUCUGCAGGCUGGGGGACGGUGGUUUAGCUGCCGAA